GGAUGUAAUCAUACCAGCACUUGUGCACCGGAUCCAGUCAUGACUUUAAAUGUGCUUGGACGAGUAUAGUACUAGGAUGGGCGACCCCCAGAGAUUUCUCGUGUUUCAUGUU
rnacentral:rRNA from 2 species